AUUUUUUUUCUCCUCCCCUCAUUUGCUGGUCCUCCCCACCACUGCAUGUUUUCUCUUCCCUGUCUUUCUCGCAAAGCCCUAGCUACUGCCAUACACAACCCACCAGUCUUCCUUAAUCAAACGACCGAAAUGCCACCGCUGAACAACAGAUGAUCCUUCUGACACAACUCCAAACUGCCAGAAGCUGCCUAGAAUCCGAGAUCCGCCCAGGUCAAAUUUUGACCUCAAUCAACUCUGGCCUUGAUUCCAACAAUACGACACACCCCAGAGGUUCAUGGAAUGUUGAUGGUCGCAUUGACAUGGUCAGAUUGCUUGUUGGACCACCCACACACCUUACAUUCUGGGUUGGGUCAAAUCCUCUCCUAAAACUCAAUUGAGCUCACACUGUUAUGUUACAUAUAGCAGAGCUAGAUAUGGGAAA
rnacentral:misc_RNA from 1 species